rnacentral:rRNA from 1 species
GGUCAAGCUACAAAGGGCUCAUGGCGGAUACCUU